rnacentral:rRNA from 3 species
CAGACCUCUAAUCGGAAAAGACUA